GAUGAACGCUGGCGGCGUGCCUAAUACAUGCAAGUCGAGCGAACGGACGAGAAGCUUGCUUCUCUGAUGUUAGCGGCGGACGGGUGAGUAACACGUGGAUAACCUACCUAUAAGACUGGGAUAACUUCGGGAAACCGGAGCUAAUACCGGAUAAUAUUUUGAACCGCAUGGUUCAAAAGUAAAAGACGGUCUUGCUGUCACUUAUAGAUGGAUCCGCGCUGCAUUAGCUAGUUGGUAAGGUAACGGCUUACCAAGGCAACGAUGCAUAGCCGACCUGAGAGGGUGAUCGGCCACACUGGAACUGAGACACGGUCCAGACUCCUACGGGAGGCAGCAGUAGGGAAUCUUCCGCAAUGGGCGAAAGCCUGACGGAGCAACGUCGCGUGAGUGAUGAAGGUCUUCGGAUCGUAAAACUCGGUUAUUAGGGAAGAACAUAUGUGUAAGUAACUGUGCACAUCUUGACGGUACCUAAUCAGAAAGCCACGGCUAACUACGUG
rnacentral:rRNA from 1 species